UCCCGUGUGGUCUAGUGGUUACGACUCUUGGCUUUAGCCCAGGCAACCCGGGUUCAAUCCCCGGCAUGGGAA
rnacentral:tRNA from 1 species